CAUAAACCUGUGUAAAUGUUUUAUUCCUAUAAACCUUCGUUAAUUAAUUCAAUCGAGAAUUAUUAAUAUCAAAUCAUGAUGUAUAUGUAAAACUACGUUAACAAUGAAUGAACAUUACCGUCAAUAACACUUGGUAAUAAGUUGUGUUACAUACAGAGUAAAUAAAUAUAUGGUGGCCGAAGUUCCUCAAGCCUUAGCUUUGUUUGACCAGAUCCUUUUUUUAACAAUUCCUACACAAUACAAACUUCUUCUCUUCCACAUGGCUGGUAAAAGAAAAAGAGAGCUGACAACACCAAAGAAUGUACCUGAAACAUGAGCGUCAAAAGCAACAUGAAACUUUUUUUCAUAAUUGAGAAGACAAAGAACAUAUUCUGCAAUAAAAUCGAGUGGCAUAAAUAUACCAGCCUUGACGGGAUACACGAAAAAUAGGAAAAACUCUGUGUAGGGAAACAAACAAGCAAAAAUUGCUGCGGUAGCAUAAACAGCUCCAGAUGCUCCAAGUAAUCCAGUAGCCCAACUUUGGGGGACAAACGUAGCGGUACGAAUAAUAGGUCCAUAUUCCGGAUUGCUGCCCAAGUACAAAGCAGGUCUUGAGAUGGGAGGAUAUGGACCUUUUGGAAAAAGCAAGUCCCAUACCUUAGUAGGGCCGUUAGGAAGAGUAGCAAAUGGAUUCUCUUCAUUCAUCAUCCUUUGAAGUGCAACAUAAUUGCCAAAUACGCCGGCACCGAGAUACACGGAUAAAGCUUUCCAGACACCAAAUUUGUAAACGACAAUGCUUAAAAAAGAGUAAAUAGCAACACAAUUUACAAGUAGAUGUGCUAAAUUCUGAUGCGAAAAGAUGCUAACUACCAAUGUCCACCACCGGCCUUCAUACAAAUUGAAUAAAGAAGCUUGCGCAUGGGUCAUCAUAAACCGAAACCGUUUGAAGUCAUGCAAUCUAAUAGCUUCAUCCCUAGCUAAGUCCCAAUGCCAAAAGACAACUCCAUUAACAAGACAAACUAUUACAGCAACCAUAAUUGCCACACGUGGACUGGAUUUAAACUCACCUGGCGGUGGAGAAAGACGGUAGUGAAAUUUUGGGGGUAAUAGAAAUCGUCUAGGUCCUUUUGGUAUCGGACUCCACACUGGCAAAAGAGGGACUUGUGAAUAUACAUUCUUGAGUGGCAAAUGCUCUCGCAAAGGUAGAGAAGGCGAUGAGACGUCAACGGAUGACAAAGAACGAUGGCUACGGGAAAAAAUCACAUAUGGGCGAAAAAUAUUUAAAGAACUAGCUGUUUGGAAAGGUGGGAUUAAAAUUCCCACGCGAUUUGAAGCAUAUUUGAGAGAAUUGAUACCACACAAUAAAGAGCUGGAUGAUAUACACAUUGUAAGAGAACUAAUAGUUUUGGUCAGGAUAAAAACAAAAUCCAGACUUUGGAUUGAGGAAUUGUGUACAACAGCCAAAAAAGGAUUUGAAAACGAAAUGAUAUAAUUUAUUUUACUCGUAGGCUUUUCAGUUUUGAGGAAUUUGCAGGUUUGGAAGUAAGGAUUUUUGAAACUAAAGGCAGAAGCCAAAUGUUUUAAAAUUAUUUUACGUCAAAAAAAAUAAAAGAGGGAUGAUGAAGUUGGAUGGAUGGUAAUGAAAAGUCGUUAAUCAAAUAAAUAAGUAGUAAACACAGAUGUUUCCAAAGGUAACUUUUCUCAAAACAAACUCAAGCAGCACGCGCCGUUAGUGUGAAAUGAAGAACUUAAAACAAAAACGUGUUUGUUACAUUAACUCGUGGUUUAUAACAAGUAAGAUCUUUUUUAUAAGAAUUUGCAAAGAAGUUGGAUUUCCGAGGACGUGAAUAUAUAACAAUGUGCGGAUGGGAUAGCUAGCUAGCUUUCCAACUGGCUUGUCACAGACCUGGGCAACUCAAGUCAGUCAGGGAGGAAGGAACCAAAGACGUCAAUUUCUUCGUUUCAGGUAAGCGUAAAAAGGAAAAAAGGUAUAUAUAAUUAGUUUUUUUAAAAAAAGAAAAAAAAACGUAAAAAAAAUUGAAUGGUUUAUUAAAGACGAAGAGGGUAAACGAAACUAGGAAGUUGAAACAGUCGCAAUCUGUUGCAACCUACUUUCGACGUCAUCAUAAACUCAGAAUUUAAGCUGCGGAAAUGUUACCUCAAAAUUGUGGAGGAUAGGACAAUACUUUACAAGGUGUUACCUCGGUUAAGAACCAAAAAACGAUCAGUAAAAAGACUUCAAAAUGUAAAUAAGUGAGCGGAUUCAUUCACCUAUCAUGGCUUCAAUAGCUACCUUAAUCAUAAGAUCUGGAAGGAGCAGUAUGGAACAAGGUAUGCAAAGAAGAGGUGGCGGUAGCGUGAGACGGACUUGAAGGAGGCUCCAGGGUAGGAAGAGCUUUGACACUGCUUUUAACAGGAUUAAAUGUCUGAUUUGGACUUAUUAAGUUAGAAUUAGUUAUCUUUGGUAAAGCAAGGCCGUACUGUUUAGUAUCGGCCCUUAGUAAUGUGGAGCCGUUGGCGCAAAGUUGUGCACCAAAUGAACUGCCUGGAGAAAAGUAGGAAGGGGCGGGAGGUGCGUUAACAAUCUGUGGUUUACUUGACGGAAAGGUAGUAGGAUACAUUGGAACAAAGGAUGAACUAGGAGAAACCGGAAUGUUGGGCGAAACAGGGAUACCACUGUCGAAUGGAUAAAAGGGUAAAGAAAUUCCAGUAGGAUGAGGAUAAGCAUUAGGAAGAUAAUAUUCCAUGCUUGUGUCAUUAACAGUCGCUGGAGGAAUGGGGACGGACGGGAAAUGAUUAUACAUCACUGAAAGAGGUAGACCUGAACGGGAUGAAGUAGGAGGUUGACGAGCAUCCCAAACAGACACGGGAACGGUCAAGGUACGCUGUCCAUUAGUGUUUUGGAAGCGUGGUGUUGAUAAAAACAUAGGAUUCGAUUCUGUAGGAUAAUUCUGAUUAAAAUCAGGGACGUUGUUGCUAGCAAUUGGUGAAAGAACGUUUUGUAAACGAUUCUUUCUGUUUUCGGAAGGUGGACUUUUAGAAUUGGAGGGAGAAGGAGUUGGAGCAGCAGCGCCUGCUGAUUCUGAAAUAGAAAACCGUCUCAAAGGAUCUUGAUUUUUUUUAUUUAAGGAGCCGGUGGCAUUGGAGGCGGAACGUCUUCUUGGUUUUUCAAUUAGCUUAGAUUGGGCUUGCAAGUCGGUGGGAGACAGCGAGACAGAGGUGGGUUUGGCGUAAGCAACUGAAAGAGCAAGUACAGCGGCUUGAACCGGGUCAGUAAUCGAGCCAUCCUUGCUUUGAUUUUGACUUUUAUCAGCUUCUUGACCUGUAGACUUGUCACCUUCCGGUUUCGAAUCAGGGGCUUUGUGGAGGUUGACAUCCAGUGUCUGCUCCGGAGUAACAAGGGCCUUUCGCAAGUGUGUUCUAACAUGUCUGAUCAAUUCAUCUCUUCUCGUGAAGCGUUUUUUGCAACUUGGAUAGCUGCAUUCGAAAGGCUUUUCACCUGUGUGGCUCCGAAUGUGACGGACUUGGUGUUCUUGACGAUGAAAAACACGCUUGCAAAAGGGGCAUUCGUAACUUUUCAUUUUGCGGGAGAACCAAAAAGCACUUAAAUAAAGACAGAGAAUUUCUUAUAUUCUCAAAUUAAAGGAAAGGUUUACUAGAGGUAAAGAUUAGUAGAGUGGAAAAGGCCGAUUCCAAAUUAAGCACGAAUCAACGGGAAUACACGCGAACCAGCGGAUCAAGCAGGCAAUUGUCGAGAAGGAAGUAGUAAAAAAAAAGAAUUAAGAUUGUGGGGGAAGUAGAUAAACUUUGUAUUAAGAAAGCUUUUAUAGUAUAACAAU